GAGUAUCCCUUUAGAUUUCAUGCAAAACACGCUACUUUAACUCUUGUGGUAUCUCGAUUUAAUUCCUAAUUUUUUCUCUCAAAAAUCUGGUAGAGUUCUAAAAUAUUGUUUAGCAAUAUCUUAAGCUCGCGGGUUCUCCUUUGGUUGGUUGUAAGAUUUUUCCCUUAUUUUCACUUAUUUCUUUAUUUUUCUCCUUUCCUUCUAUUCCUCUCAUAAUUUGGGUAAAGUUUCCUCAAGGAAAAACUCCCAAAUUCUAUCAAUUUCCCUCACUUUUAUCGGAUUUAUUCCCUUUUCCUCUCUUUUUACCUUUUCUCUUUCUCUCAAUCUAGAAUGCUUUACCCUACUUCUCACAUCCCUA
rnacentral:lncRNA from 1 species